AUCACUUUAUAUUUCGUAUAAAUUCUGCUUAUUCUUUUUCAAAAAUAACGAAAUAAUUAAAUUUACCUCUACCUAACCUCUACAUUCUCUAGGUAAGCAUUGAUGUAAGAUGAAUAAAUUUAGAACUGUUUUUAACAAUUUUAAUAAAGGAAAAUAUAAAAAUCAUGAUAAUAUUGUUUCGAGAUGAACAAUCUCUUAGGAUUAUCGAAAAGGUUAAACAUAUUUCUCUCGCGAUAAAAAAGAAAGGAAAGAGUUUCCCUAGUAAUUAUACAUUUGCGAAACAAUAGCUCGUCUAGAAAGCAUUGUCAACCGACAUGGUUGCAAAACACAAGGUUGAAACACGUACAUCUUGCUAAUAAUUUCAGUUACACAAUUUCUAGGGUACAAUCCAUUGCAACAUCGUGUUAUUCGAUAUAUGACGUGCAUAUACGUGAACUGUGCUGUGCGAUUGUAUGAUAUAUGUUUUUCUUUUCAUGCAAAUGGACCAGCCUUCGUGUGGAAUGCUCGAAGCAAUCUUUUGUUCUUCUUUUUUUUUUUAUUAUCGAUAUAAAUAUGCUUGGAUUAAGUUGAAGAUCACGUAUCAUAAUCAAAUUAUGAAAAAAUAUACGAGUGGAUAUAUUUAAAGAUUCUUGGAUGAAUAUUUUAAUCUAUGAGAAAGAAAGUAUAUAAAAAGGUGUAUACAAAAUGGAUGAUGAUAUAUCAUGGAAUUUGAAAAAAAUUGUUAUCAUAAAUUAUUUGUGAAUAUCAGAAAUAGAAAAACUCGUGGAAAAUAAAUCUCAGAAUAAAUUAAUUUCUAAAAAUUAUUCACUGUUGAACAAAUUAAUCAAGAUUAUAUUAAAGAAAUCUUCAAAUGAUAAUUUAUUUAUGACAUAAUAAUCUAUCAGAGAUUUAUUUUAGCAUAUCUAUUUUUAUAUGAAAACAUGUAAUAUGAAAAAAAAAAAUCAUUAUUGGAAAUUUACAUUCCCAAUAAAAAGGAAAAAAGUGAAUCGAGGCAACAAAGAACAACAAAAUUAUCGGAAAUUUUCAAAGUUGAGCAAAGAAAGCAAUACAAUCACACAAAAAAUUAUUUUACAAAACGAAAUUUAUCUACAAAUUGCUGUGAACAUUAUAAAAAUGUGAUUGAAAAAUUAAAUAUAGAUGACGAAUAAUUGACAGAUUAAAACACGAGGAAAAGUGAAUUCUUCGAAUCUCUAUCUUUAAAAGAUUUUCAUGAUAAACGAUUCGAUGUUCGGGGAUAGAAACGGAACGAGAGUGUCCUAUGAAUGUUGGGACAUUGUUCACGCACUGUCGCUAUCUAAUUAACCUAAUUGCAGGCAUACGUGUUAUCAGUCAAAGAAACCGGUAGACUUUAUGACGCGUAAAUUCCAUCGAGGUUAUCGCUUCGUUUCCUUUCAUGUCCCGUUUAUUUUCUACCAUCACACCAAUUGACUUACGUAUUUUUCUCAUUUUCCUCUUUUAAAAUUCUUUUUCACCUAAUCGAUUCGAACAUCAUCCAUAUUUCUCGAGCCAUAUGUUGAUUAAAUAAAUUUUAUCGCUUUAAAUUAUCAAUAUUUGAUGUUUUAAAAAAAAUAGUUUA
rnacentral:lncRNA from 1 species